CCUACGGGAGGCAGCAGUGGGGAAUAUUGCACAAUGGGGGGAACCCUGAUGCAGCGACGCCGCGUGAGUGAAGAAGUAUUUCGGUAUGUAAAGCUCUAUCAGCAGGGAAGAAAAUGACGGUACCUGACUAAGAAGCCCCGGCUAACUACGUGCCAGCAGCCGCGGUAAUACGUAGGGGGCAAGCGUUAUCCGGAUUUACUGGGUGUAAAGGGAGCGCAGACGGCUGUGCAAGUCUGGAGUGAAAGGCGGGGGCCCAACCCCCGGACUGCUCUGGAAACUGUAAAGCUGGAGUGCAGGAGAGGUAAGCGGAAUUCCUAGUGUAGCGGUGAAAUGCGGAGAUAUUAGGAGGAACACCAGUGGCGAAGGCGGCUUACUGGACUGCAACUGACGUUGAGGCUCGAAAGCGUGGGGAGCAAACAGGAUUAGAUACCCUUGUAGUC
rnacentral:rRNA from 1 species